AUGUUUGAGAAAUGUACUUGCUGGGGAAAAGAAAAAAAAAAAAAUGUCGUUCAUUUGUGCAGGAGCACGUCAUGUUCUCCGCCAGCUCGGCGGCUGUGUGGCAGGUACUGCAUCGAACAUUUGGCUGGUUUGCAGCUGAGAGCAAAAAUAGUCCGGGAAGUCUCAGCAAAACGCCCAUUUGCAGCGUGGCACCGCUCUCGCCGUGGGUCGUGCGCUCCCCGGAUUAAAUCCACGGAGGGAAAGGUCGGGUUUGUUGUGCUCAGAGCAGGCGGAGGGGCUCGCUUCGUGCCGUGCAUGGCUGUAAGGUCACGGGAGGAGUUAAUAGAUCUGCACGACAAUGCGGAUCGCUUCCCUUUACGUAGGCGCUUUCCUCACCGUGCGGUUGAGACUCGCGUGGUCCCCGCGCUGUGCCCGGUUCUCCCGGACCGGAGCGCCGCGGUUCUGCCCACCGUGCUCCCCCUCCGCCGGGCACGGGGAGCCGAGGGCCGCCUCGCAGCCCAAGGGCCCACCUCCCUUUUUCAUUAUUUAGUUAAAACACAAUUCCCGAACGCAGAGUCCUGCUCGGGCAUAUUGAAAGGAGAGUGGCUUGGAUUUGAAAAUAGCACCAACCCGCGUGCUAUUGAACCUCUGUUGACUAAGGAGACAUCGAAGACAAAUAGCUCUGUUCCGAGGAUGACAGAUCCCUGCGUCGUUGUUUCUUGGUUUACCGAAGAAUUUCAAUGUGUGUUUUUAUUUUUAUUUUUAACUAUACGUUUUCCCACCUUUCUCAUUCAGCCCGCAAAUCGCUCUGUGAUGCUCGCGGUCCUGCAGAGGGAUCUCAACGCCUCCUGCAGCCCGAGGUGCCGCGUCACUCCUCGGUUUACGCUUAGAAAUACCUCUGUGGCACCGCUAAUUCUUUGUUUUCGCGCAGAUGAAAUGUUUACACUUUGGUGGCAAGUUUACUCCCCGUCUCAUCCACGUCGCGCCAAUCAAAGCCGUUAUAAAAUCGGAACUUUCAGGCCGGGCUGCGCCGCUGAAAGACGUUUCCUUCGCGAAUCGCUCUCGGGCGAUGCCAGGGAGCGCUCAGGGACACGAGGCUCGGGGUUCUGCGAUUCGCUUCGCCACACGGGACGGUGCCGCGCAGGUGGAUGCGCGGUGACAGCCCCCAGCGCAGCGCACAAAGGC
rnacentral:lncRNA from 1 species